ACUCCUACGGGAGGCAGCAGUGGGGAAUUUUGGACAAUGGGCGAAAGCCUGAUCCAGCAAUGCCGCGUGCAGGAUGAAGGCCCUCGGGUUGUAAACUGCUUUUGUACGGAACGAAAAGCCUGGGGCUAAUAUCCCCGGGUCAUGACGGUACCGUAAGAAUAAGCACCGGCUAACUACGUGCCAGCAGCCGCGGUAAUACGUAGGGUGCAAGCGUUAAUCGGAAUUACUGGGCGUAAAGCGUGCGCAGGCGGUUUUGUAAGACAGUGGUGAAAUCCCCGGGCUCAACCUGGGAACUGCCAUUGUGACUGCAAGGCUAGAGUGCGGCAGAGGGGGAUGGAAUUCCGCGUGUAGCAGUGAAAUGCGUAGAUAUGCGGAGGAACACCGAUGGCAAAGGCAAUCCCCUGGGCCUGCACUGACGCUCAUGCACGAAAGCGUGGGAGCAAACAGGAUUAGAUACCCUGGUAGUCCACGCCCUAAACGAUGUCAACUGGUUGUUGGGUCUUAACUGACUCAGUAACGAAGCUAACGCGUGAAGUUGACCGCCUGGGGAGUACGGCCGCAAGGUUGAAACUCAAAGGAAUUGACGG
rnacentral:rRNA from 1 species